UCGCUUCGGGAGGGCCUCGCGGCCUAUCAGCUUGUUGGUGGGGUAACGGCCUACCAAGGCAUCGACGGGUAGCUGGUCUGAGAGGACGAUCAGCCACACUGGGACUGAGACACGGCCCAG
rnacentral:rRNA from 1 species